GGGGGCUCCAAAAUGGACAACCACAGGGAUGCGCCAGGGAAGGCGAGCCGGUGGUUCGGAGUGUCCCAAUCCAAGUCGGCCAAGACCAGCGUGAACAUCCUGCAGCAGGAGGAGCUGAUCGCCCAGAAAAAACGGGAAAUCGAGGCCCGGCUGGAGCAGCAGGCGCGGCAGAAUUCCCUCAGCAUCCCGCAGCUCCCGCUGCUCGGAGACGACGAUGGCUCCGAGAGCGAGGCCUCAGUGUCCAACAAGUUUGUGAACGAUGGGAGCUUUCUGCAGCAAUUCCUGAAGCUCCAGAGGGAAAAAUCCAAUGCUGAAACUCCUCCAAAUCCCCCCAACAGCUCUGGGAAUGCCCCAGCUCCAAACCCCGGGAAGAAGCCGGCGCUGCUGGGGAAGCGGCCGGGCCAGGCCCUGAGCCGGAUGCUCCAGGCCCGGAGCCUCUCCCAUCCCAAACCCAGCCCCGUCCUGAGCCGCCUCAGCGUCUUCCAGGGCCCAGAUGAGGAUGAGGAAGAGGAUUACGAGCAGUGGUUGGAAAUCAAAGUUUUGCCCCCAGAGGACUCGGAGACGCGGCAGGUGGUGGAAAAGCUGGCCAGGUUCGUGGCUGAGGGCGGCCCCCAGCUCGAGAAGGUGGCCAUGGAGGACUACAAGGAUAAUCCCGCUUUUUCGUUUUUGCAUGAUAAGAACAGCAGGGAAUUCCUUUACUACAGGAAGAAAGUGGCAGAAAUAAGGAAAGAAAAUCAAAAUUCCCAGGCAGCCUCUUCCCAAAAAGCCCGGCUCGAGGCCUCCCGGGGGCGCUUGGGCCGGGCUUGGCUGGGCGGGGCUGAGGCGGGCCCAGGACUAAUCCCUGCCCAAAGUUUCCCCCCCAGCCGAGCUGGAGACGCGGCGCUCGGCCGAGAAACUGGCGCAGAUGGUGGCGGCGGGGGGGCCCGAGGUGGAGGCCAUCGCCCUGCAGAACAACAGGGAGAACCCCGCCUUCAGGUUCCUGUACGAGCCGCACAGCAAAGGGCACCGCUACUACCGCCAGAAGCUGCAGGAGCUGCGCAGGGCCUGCGCCGGGGGCUCCCCUUUUCCCGGGAAUUCCCCUUUUCCCGGGAAUUCCCCUUUUCCCAGCAAUUCCCCUUUUCCCGGGGGCUCCCCUUUUCCCGGGAAUUCCCCUUUUCCCGGAGAAUCCGGCCUCAAACCCGGUCCCGAGGCUUCUCCCUCCCCCGUGUGCUUCCCGCCCCUCCCCAUCCCCAUCCCGCCGCCUCUUCCCGCUCCUCUUCCCGCUGCUCUUCCCAUUCCCUCGGCCUCUCCUGCCCCAUCCUCAUCCUCCACCUCCCCUCCGGAUCCGCCGGCCCUGAAUCCCGCUCCGAUCCCAAAUCCCGCUCCGAUCCCAAAUCCCGCUCCGAUCACGAAUCCGGCCAUGACCCCAAAUCUGGCCCCGAUCCCGAAUCCGGCUCCGAUCCCAAAUCCGGCUCCGAUCCCACAUCCGGCCCCGAUCCCGAAUCCGGCCCCGAUCCCGAAUCCGGCCGCGAGCCCCAAUCCGUGCUGGAGCCCCGGGGCCGGCGCGAUCCCGAAUCCCGGCGCGGGCGGCAGCAAGAGGAAGAGGAAGAGCCGCUGGGGGCCGGAGGAGGAGAAGGUGGAGCUGCCCCUGCCGCAGCUGGUGCAGCAGCUGGAGUCACCCACACCCCUCUCAGUUCAGGACCUGAAGGGGCUGGGAUACGAGAAGGGCAAACCCGUGGGAUUGGUGGGAGUCACGGAGCUCUCCGAGGCCCAGAAGAAGCAGCUGAAGGAGCAGCAGGAGAUGCAGCAGAUGUACGACAUGAUCAUGCGGCACAAGCGGGCGAUGCAGGAGAUGCAGCUGCUGUGGGAGCGGGCGCUGCAGCAGCACCAGCACGGCUACGACAGCGACGAGGAGGUGGACAGCGAGCUGGGAACCUGGGAACACCGCCUGCGGCGCAUGGAGAUGGACAAAACCCGCGAGUGGGCGGAGCAGCUGACGCAGAUGGGCCGAGGGAAACAUUUCAUCGGAGAUUUCCUCCCUCCGGACGAGCUGGAAAAAUUCAUGGAGACCUUCAAGGCGCUCAAGGAGGGCCGGGAGCCGGAUUAUUCCGAGUACAAGGAAUUCAAGCUGACGGUGGAAAACAUCGGAUACCAAAUGCUGAUGAAAAUGGGAUGGAAGGAAGGAGAGGGAUUGGGAUCCGACGGGCAGGGAAUUAAAAAUCCCGUCAGCAAGGGCACCACGGCCACGGACGGGGCGGGAUUCGGGAUCGAGCGCCCGGCCGAGCUCACCAAGGAGGACGACGAGUACGAGGCGUUCCGCAAGCGCAUGAUGCUGGCGUACCGCUUCCGGCCCAACCCGCUGAACAACCCACGGCGACCUUACUACUGAGGAGGGCUUUUCCCAACAGAUUUCCCAGGAAUUCUUAUCCCAAACUUCAUUCUCCAUCUCUUUUCCCCCGAUAUUUCCCAGGUUUUUUUUUUUUUUUGGAAUCACAGCUCCUCCUUCCCCCAUGGAAAA